rnacentral:rRNA from 1 species
AAGGGCGACUGAACAGGGAAGAGCUCAGCGCAGAACCUCCCGGGCUCAACAGCCUGCGGCGGAAUGUUGCGUUAAGGGAGAGAUCGCUUUCAAACCCCACAGCCACGCGAUCGCUAAGUCCUGCCACGAGUGGCGUUCCCGACGAAAGGAGGGAUUGUGGCGCCGUGGAGGGUGACAGUCCCGUGUGGACGCGUGCGAUUGCUGUGCGAGGGUGAGGUCUUAUUCCCUGCGAGUCGCGUUGCUUGCACAUGCAGCGCUAAGCAGGUCGUAAACUCGAUCUAAGGCUAAAUACAUCCACAGAACCGAUAGUGAACAAGUACCGUAAGGGAAAGUUGAAAAGAACUCUGGAGAGAGAGUCAAAAGACCGUGAAACCGCUCAGAGUAUAAGCCGAUGGCGCUAGAAGGCAACCGGUGGCACGACGACCUCAGUUUCGGCUGGGGUCGUCCGAAAUGUCUGAGAAUUGGGUAGUUGGGGAAGUAGCAUU